rnacentral:rRNA from 1 species
UACGUAGGGGGCGAGCGUUAUCCGGAAUUACUGGGUGUAAAGGGAGCGUAGACGGCGAGGUAAGCCUGAAGUGGAAGCCCGCGGCCCAACCGCGGAACUGCUUUGGGAACUGUUUUGCUGGAGUAUGGGAGGGGUAAGCGGAAUUCCUAGUGUAGCGGUGAAAUGCGUAGAUAUUAGGAGGAACACCAGUGGCGGAGGCGGCUUACUGGACGGUAACUGACGCUGAGGCUCGAAAGCGUGGGGAGCAAACAGG